rnacentral:rRNA from 1 species
ACACGUGGACAACCUACCCUAUGGAGGGGGAUAACCCCGGGAAACUGGGGAUAAUACCCCAUAGACUAUAGAUGCUGGAAUGCUUUGUAGUUGAAAGGUCCGCCGCCAUAGGAUGGGUCUGCGGCCGAUUAGGUUGUUGUUGGGGUAACGGCCCAACAAGCCUGUAAUCGGUACGGGUUGUGGGAGCAAGAGCCCGGAGAUGGAUUCUGAGACACGAAUCCAGGCCCUACGGGGCGCAGCAGGCGCGAAAACUUUACAAUGCGGGAAACCGUGAUAAGGGAACUCCGAGUGCCCGUAAAAUCGGGCUGUCCAUCUGUUUAAAUAACAGGUGAAGAAAGGGCCGGGCAAGACCGGUGCCAGCCGCCGCGGUAAUACCGGCGGCUCGAGUGGUGGCCACUAUUACUGGGCUUAAAGCGUUCGUAGCUGGUCUGUUAAGUCUCUGGGGAAAUCUACUGGCUUAACCAAUAGGCGUCUCAGGGAUACUGGCAGACUAGGGACCGGGAGAGGUGAGAGGUACUCCAGGGGUAGGAGUGAAAUCCUGUAAUCCUUGGGGGACCACCUGUGGCGAAGGCGUCUCACCAGAACGGCUCCGACAGUGAGGGACGAAAGCUGGGGGAGCAAACCGGAUUAGAUACCCGGGUAGUCCCAGCCGUAAACGAUGCGCGUUAGGUGUAUCGGUGACCACGAGUCACCGACGUGCCGAAGAGAAAUCGUGAAACGUGCCGCCUGGAAGUA